AUGCACGCUGGCGGCGUGCCUAAUACAUGCCAGUCGAGCGAACAGACGAGGAGCUUGCUCCUCUGACGUUAGCGGCGGACGGGUGAGUAACACGUGGAUAACCUACCUAUAAGACUGGGAUAACUUCGGGAAACCGGAGCUAAUACCGGAUAAUAUAUUGAACCGCAUGGUUCAAUAGUGAAAGACGGUUUUGCUGUCACUUAUAGAUGGAUCCGCGCCGCAUUAGCUAGUUGGUAAGGUAACGGCUUACCAAGGCGACGAUGCGUAGCCGACCUGAGAGGGUGAUCGGCCACACUGGAACUGAGACACGGUCCAGACUCCUACGGGAGGCAGCAGUAGGGAAUCUUCCGCAAUGGGCGAAAGCUUGACGGAGCAACGCCGCGUGAGUGAUGAAGGUCUUCGGAUCGUAAAACUCUGUUAUUAGGGAAGAACAAAUGUGUAAGUAACUAUGCACGUCUUGACGGUACCUAAUCAGAAAGCCACGGCUAACUACGUG
rnacentral:rRNA from 1 species